AUGUCUGAACUUUUCUUUUUUCAAUCUCUAGUGUCCACUGCUAAAUCUUUACGUUUCUCUACUGCAACUGAAAUCAAGCCACUCCAGCAAGUUAAAAGCUUUCCAAAGAGCAGAUUGAAAAAAGAAGCCAGUCAUGAUAAUACAAAUCUUGAGGAGCACUGUACUAAGCAGACUGCAGCUCUUUUAUUGCAGUCUGUGGAUAUUAGCUGCCCAUCAACUCCUACAAAAAUGAAGAUGAAAAGCCAACAGCAAAUGGAACAAAUGUUUUCCAAGUUCCUGCUUUCUGAUGUGGGGAAAAAGCAAGGGGAACCAUUGAAAUCUCAGCAGGUGGCGCAUUCUUCAGCUCCUCUUCACCAGUGAAAAGAAGAGGAGGCGGGGAAGAAAGACAUGUACUUGAAACGCUACUUUAGAAUAUCCACUCAUCAUAUAUUCCUUACAGUACUUUAAGGAGAGUCAAUAUUUCUUUACUUUCCCAGUGCACAUGGAAUCUAAAGUUGGCUUCCUUCCAAUUUUCCACUUAAUCAAUAAUUGAAGUAAGAUUUCAG
rnacentral:lncRNA from 1 species